UCCUACGGGAGGCAGCAGUGGGGAAUAUUGCACAAUGGGCGCAAGCCUGAUGCAGCGACGCCGCGUGAGGGAUGACGGCCUUCGGGUUGUAAACCUCUUUCGCCAGGGACGAAGCGCAAGUGACGGUACCUGGAGAAGAAGGACCGGCCAACUACGUGCCAGCAGCCGCGGUAAUA
rnacentral:rRNA from 1 species